GCGCCUGUAGCUCAAUUGGAUAGAGUGUCGGACUUCGAAUCCGCAGGUUGCAGGUUCGAGUCCUGCCAGGCGCA
rnacentral:tRNA from 1 species